rnacentral:rRNA from 1 species
GAUGAACGCUGGCGGCGUGCCUAAUACAUGCAAGUCGAGCGAACGGACGAGAAGCUUGCUCCCCUGCUGUUAGCGGCGGGCGGGUGAGUAACACGUGGAUAACAUACUUAUAAGACUGGGAUAAUUUCGGGAAACCGGAGCUAAUACCGGAUAAUAUUUUGAACCGGAUGGAUCAAGAGUGAAAGACGGUUUUGCUGUUACUUAUAGAUGGAUCCGCGCUGCAUUAGCUAGUUGGUAAAGUAACGGCUUACCAAGGCAACGAUGCAUAGCCGACCUGAGAGGGUGAUCGGCCACACUGGAACUGAGACACGGUCCAGACUCCUACGGGAGGCAGCAGUAGGGAAUCUUCCGCAAUGGGCGAAAGCCUGACGCAGCAACGCCGCGUGAGUGAUGAAGGUCUUCGGAUCGUAAAACCCUGUUAUUAGGGAAGAACAUAUGUGUAAGUAACUGUGCACAUCUUGACGGUACCUAAUCAGAAAGCCACGGCUAACUACGUG